GCGCGAAAACUUUACAAUGCUGGCAACAGCGAUAAGGGGACCUCGAGUGCCAGGAUACAAUCUUGGCUGUCGCGAUGCCUAAAAAGCAUUGCAUAGCAAGGGCCGGGCAAGACCGGUGCCAGCCGCCGCGGUAACACCGGCGGCUCGAGUGGUAACCGCUAUUAUUGGGUCUAAAGGGUCUGUAGCCGGCCGGAUAAGUCUCUUGAGAAAUCCAGCAGCUCAACUGUUGGGCUUUCAGGAGAUACUGUUCGGCUCGAGACCGGGAGAGGUGAGAGGUACUUCAGGGGUAGGGUGAAAUCUUGUAAUCCUUGAAGGACCACCAGUGGCGAAGGCGUCUCACCAGAACGGAUCUGACGGCAAGGGACGAAAGCUAGGGGCACGAACCGGAUUAGAUACCCGGGUAGUCCUAGCCGUAAACUUUGGACACUAGUUGCCCCCUUUAGGGGUGACGUAAGCUAACGCGUUAAGUGUCCCGCCUGGGGAGUACGGCCGCAAGGCUAAAACUCAAAUGAAUUGAC
rnacentral:rRNA from 1 species